rnacentral:rRNA from 1 species
UACAGAGGGUGCAAACGUUGCUCGGAAUUAUUGGGCGUAAAGCGCAUGUAGGCGGCAUAGUAAGUUCACUGUGAAAGCCCUUGGCUCAACCAAGGAAGUGCAGUGAAAACUGCUAAGCUCGAGUUCUGAAGAGGGUCGCGGAAUGGCCAGUGUAGAGGUGAAAUUCGUAGAUAUUGGCUAGAACACCAGUGGCGAAGGCGGCGACCUGGGAAGAUACUGACGCUGAGAUGCGAAAGCGUGGGGAGCAAACAGG